GGCUGGCCUUAAACUCACAGAUAUCUGCCUGCCUCUGCCUCCCGAGUUCUGGCUGGCUAGGCAGGUGUCCCUGUCCUCCCUCACCGUUCCAUGUGCGUUCCUCCAGAAGCUGCGUGCUGGGUCGAAGAGGACGACCUUCCCGGAAUAGAGGAGGACCGGUCUUCGGUCAAUGGUAUAUGAGUAGCUGUGCUCUCCUGCUAGAACAUCUAAAACAAUCUUUCAAAAGGGCUUUUUAUAACAAUGCCAAGGGGAAGGGCACAAGACUCUCC
rnacentral:sRNA from 1 species